rnacentral:rRNA from 1 species
AGGUAAGCUACUAAGAGCAAAUGGUGGAUGCCUUGGCUAGUAGAGGCGAUGAAAGACGUGCCAGGCUGCGAUAAGUCUCGGGGAGCCGUCAAGGGGCUUUGAUCCGGGAAUUUCUGAAUGGGGCAACCCAGUAUAUAGUGAUAUAUACUACCGCAAUGCGGAGCGAACGUUGGGAAUUGAAACAUCUUAGUACCAACAGGAAAAGAAAUCAAAAGAGAUUACGCUAGUAGCGGCGAGCGAACGCGUAAGAGGGCAAACCACUAGCUUGCUAGUGGGGUUGUAGGACUGCAAUAUAGACUUAAACAAACUAAUAGAAUAAGCUGGAAAGCUUAAGCGUAGAGGGUGAUACUCCCGUAUAUGAAAGUGCGUUUAUACUUAGCAGGAUCCUGAGUAGGGCGGGACACGUGUAAUCCUGUCUGAAGCUGGGUAGACCACUAUCCAACCCUAAAUACUACUACUAGACCGAUAGUGCACAAGUACCGUGAGGGAAAGGUGAAAAGAACUGAGGUGAUCAGAGUGAAAUAGAACCUGAAACCAUUUGCUUACAAUCAUUCAGAGCCCUAUGAUUUAUCAGGGUGAUGGACUGCCUUUUGCAUAAUGAGCCUGCGAGUUGUGGUGUCUGGCGAGGUUAAGGAAACCCGGAGCCGUAGCGAAAGCGAGUCUUAAUAGGGCGUAUAGUCAGAUGCUGCAGACCCGAAACGAUGUGAUCUAUCCAUGAGCAGGUUGAAACUGGUGUAAGAGCCAGUGGAGGACCGAACAGACGGCCGUUGAAAAGGCUCCUGAUGACUUGUGGAUAGGGGUGAAAGGCCAAUCAAACAUCGUGAUAGCUGGUUCUCUCCGAAAUAUAUUUAGGUAUAGCGUUGUGUAGUAACUUUGUGAGGUAGAGCACUGAAUGGGCUAGGGCAUACACCAAUGUACCAAACCCUAUCAAACUCCGAAUGCGCAAAGUGUAAUCACAGCAGUCAGGCGGCGAGUGAUAAAAUCCGUCGUCGAGAGGGGAACAACCCAGACUAACAGCUAAGGUCCCUAAAUCUCAUUUAAGUGGAAAACGAUGUGGAGUUACUGAAACAACCAGGAGGUUGGCUUAGAAGCAGCCAUCCUUUAAAGAAAGCGUAAUAGCUCACUGGUCUAGUGAUUCUGCGCGGAAAAUAUAACGGGGCUAAAAUGAGUACCGAAGCUUUAGACUUGUUUUUACAAGUGGUAGGAGAGCGUUCUAUUCAGCGUUGAAGGUAUACCGGUAAGGAGUGCUGGAGCGGAUAGAAGUGAGCAUGCAGGCAUGAGUAGCGAUAACUCAGGUGAGAAUCCUGGGCGCCGUAAACCCAAGGUUUCCUACGCGAUGCUCGUCAUCGUAGGGUUAGUCGGGUCCUAAGCAAAGUCCGAAAGGGGUAUGCGAUGGAAAAUCGGUUAAUAUUCCGAUACCAAUUAUUAUGUGCGAUGGAAGGACGCUUAAAGUUAGUGGAGCUAGCGGAUGGAAGUGCUAGUCUAAGGGCGUAGGUUGAGUUAUAGGCAAAUCCGUAACUCUCUAUCCGAGACCUCAAAGGCUCUUGACGCUCUUCGGAGUAGAUGGAGAAUCCAUGAUACUAUCGAGCCAAGAAAAGUUUCUAAGUUUAGUAAUAAUUGCCCGUACCGUAAACCGACACAGGUGGGUGGGAUGAGUAUUCUAAGGCGCGUGGAAGAACUCUCUUUAAGGAACUCUGCAAAAUAGCACCGUAUCUUCGGUAUAAGGUGUGCCUACCAGUGUAUUAAGAUUUACUCCCAAAGCAUUGAAGGUUACAACAAAGAGUCCCUCCCGACUGUUUACCAUAAACACAGCACUCUGCUAACUCGUAAGAGGAUGUAUAGGGUGUGACGCCUGCCCGGUGCUCGAAGGUUAAUUGAUGGGGUUAGCAUUAGCGAAGCUCUUGAUCGAAGCCCGAGUAAACGGCGGCCGUAACUAUAACGGUCCUAAGGUAGCGAAAUUCCUUGUCGGUUAAAUACCGACCUGCAUGAAUGGCGUAACGAGAUGGGAGCUGUCUCAAAGAGGGAUCCAGUGAAAUUGUAGUGGAGGUGAAAAUUCCUCCUACCCGCGGCAAGACGGAAAGACCCCGUGGACCUUUACUACAGCUUGACACUGCUAUUUGGAUAAAGAUGCGCAGGAUAGGUGGGAGGCUUUGAUCCAUAGACUCUGGUUUAUGGUGAGCCAUUGUUGAGAUACCACUCUUCUUUAUUUGGGUAGCUAACUAGCUUGAGUUAUCCUCAAGUAGGACAAUGUCUGGUGGGUAGUUUGACUGGGGCGGUCGCCUCCCAAAAUGUAACGGAGGCUUACAAAGGUUGGCUCAGAACGGUUGGAAAUCGUUCGUAGAGUAUAAAGGCAUAAGCCAGCUUAACUGCGAGACGUACAUGUCAAGCAGAGACGAAAGUCGGUCUUAGUGAUCCGGUGGUUCUGUGUGGAAGGGCCAUCGCUCAAAGGAUAAAAGGUACCCCGGGGAUAACAGGCUGAUCUCCCCCAAGAGCUCACAUCGACGGGGAGGUUUGGCACCUCGAUGUCGGCUCAUCGCAUCCUGGGGCUGGAGCAGGUCCCAAGGGUAUGGCUGUUCGCCAUUUAAAGCGGUACGCGAGCUGGGUUCAGAACGUCGUGAGACAGUUCGGUCCCUAUCUGCCGUGGGCGUAAGAAGAUUGAGGAGAGUUGACCCUAGUACGAGAGGACCGGGUUGAACCAGCCACUGGUGUAUCAGUUGUUCUGCCAAGAGCAUCGCUGAGUAGCUAAGCUGGGAUGUGAUAAGAGCUGAAAGCAUCUAAGCUCGAAGCCAACUCCAAGAUGAAUCUUCUUUUAAGAGCUCUAGUAGACUACUAGUUUGAUAGGCUGGGUGUGUAAUGGAUGAGAGUCCUUUAGCUGACCAGUACUAAUAGCUCGUUUGCUUAUCUUA